UACGAAGGGGGCUAGCGUUGCUCGGAAUCACUGGGCGUAAAGCGCACGUAGGCGGAUUGCUAAGUCAGGGGUGAAAUCCUGGAGCUCAACUCCAGAACUGCCCUUGAUACUGGCGGUCUCGAGUCCGGAAGAGGCGAGUGGAAUUCCUGGUGUAGCGGUGAAAUGCGCAGAUAUCAGGAGGAACACCGAUGGCGAAGGCAGCCCCCUGGGUCGACACUGACGCUCAGGCACGAAAGCGUGGGGAGCAAACAGG
rnacentral:rRNA from 1 species